AGAGUUUGAUCCUGGCUCAGGACGAACGCUGGCGGCGCGCCUAACACAUGCAAGUCGAACGAGCGAGAGAGAGCUUGCUUUCUCAAGCGAGUGGCGAACGGGUGAGUAACGCGUGAGGAACCUGCCUCAAAGAGGGGGACAACAGUUGGAAACGACUGCUAAUACCGCAUAAGCCCACGGCUCGGCAUCGAGCAGAGGGAAAAGGAGCAAUCCGCUUUGAGAUGGCCUCGCGUCCGAUUAGCUAGUUGGUGAGGUAACGGCCCACCAAGGCGACGAUCGGUAGCCGGACUGAGAGGUUGAACGGCCACAUUGGGACUGAGACACGGCCCAGACUCCUACGGGAGGCAGCAGUGGGGAAUAUUGCACAAUGGGGGAAACCCUGAUGCAGCGACGCCGCGUGGAGGAAGAAGGUCUUCGGAUUGUAAACUCCUGUUGUUGAGGAAGAUAAUGACGGUACUCAACAAGGAAGUGACGGCUAACUACGUGCCAGCAGCCGCGGUAAAACGUAGGUCACAAGCGUUGUCCGGAAUUACUGGGUGUAAAGGGAGCGCAGGCGGGAAGACAAGUUGGAAGUGAAAUCCAUGGGCUCAACCCAUGAACUGCUUUCAAAACUGUUUUUCUUGAGUAGUGCAGAGGUAGGCGGAAUUCCCGGUGUAGCGGUGGAAUGCGUAGAUAUCGGGAGGAACACCAGUGGCGAAGGCGGCCUACUGGGCACCAACUGACGCUGAGGCUCGAAAGUGUGGGUAGCAAACAGGAUUAGAUACCCUGGUAGUCCACACUGUAAACGAUGAUUACUAGGUGUUGGAGGAUUGACCCCUUCAGUGCCGCAGUUAACACAAUAAGUAAUCCACCUGGGGAGUACGACCGCAAGGUUGAAACUCAAAGGAAUUGACGGGGGCCCGCACAAGCAGUGGAGUAUGUGGUUUAAUUCGACGCAACGCGAAGAACCUUACCAAGUCUUGACAUCCUGCGACGCACAUAGAAAUAUGUGUCUCCUUCGGGACGCAGAGACAGGUGGUGCAUGGUUGUCGUCAGCUCGUGUCGUGAGAUGUUGGGUUAAGUCCCGCAACGAGCGCAACCCUUAUGGUCAGUUACUACGCAAGAGGACUCUGGCCAGACUGCCGUUGACAAAACGGAGGAAGGUGGGGAUGACGUCAAAUCAUCAUGCCCUUUAUGACUUGGGCUACACACGUACUACAAUGGCGUUAAACAAAGAGAAGCAAGACCGCGAGGUGGAGCAAAACUCAGAAACAACGUCCCAGUUCGGACUGCAGGCUGCAA
rnacentral:rRNA from 1 species